UACGUAGGGGGCUAGCGUUGUCCGGAAUCAUUGGGCGUAAAGCGCGCGUAGGCGGCCCGGUAAGUCCGUUGUGAAAGUCAAAGGCUCAACCUUUGAAAGCCGAUGGAUACUGCCGGGCUAGAGGACGGUAGAGGCGAGUGGAAUUCCCGGUGUAGCGGUGAAAUGCGCAGAUAUCGGGAAGGAACACCAGUAGCGAAGGCGGCUCGCUGGCCGUCCGUCGACGCUGAGACGCGAAAGCUAGGGGAGCGAACAGG
rnacentral:rRNA from 1 species